GCCGCUGUGGCGGAAUUGGCAGACGCAAGGGACUUAAAAUCCCUCGGGAGCAAUCCCGUACCGGUUCAAGUCCGGUCAGCGGCAC
rnacentral:tRNA from 1 species